rnacentral:rRNA from 1 species
AGAACGAACGCUGGCGGCAUGCCUAAUACAUGCAAGUCGAACGAAGGCUUCGGCCUUAGUGGCGCACGGGUGCGUAACGCGUGGGAAUCUGCCCCUUGGUUCGGAAUAACAGUUGGAAACGACUGCUAAUACCGGAUGAUGACGAAAGUCCAAAGAUUUAUCGCCAAGGGAUGAGCCCGCGUAGGAUUAGCUAGUUGGUGAGGUAAAGGCUCACCAAGGCGACGAUCCUUAGCUGGUCUGAGAGGAUGAUCAGCCACACUGGGACUGAGACACGGCCCAGACUCCUACGGGAGCAGCAGUAGGGAAUAGUUGGACAAGUGGGACGAAAGCCUG